GACGAACGCUGGCGGCGUGCCUAAUACAUGCAAGUAGAACGCUGAAGAGAGGAGCUUGCUCUUCUUGGAUGAGUUGCGAACGGGUGAGUAACGCGUAGGUAACCUGCCUGGUAGCGGGGGAUAACUAUUGGAAACGAUAGCUAAUACCGCAUGAAAUUGCUUAUCGCAUGAUAAUUGAUUGAAAGAUGCAAUUGCAUCACUACCAGAUGGACCUGCGUUGUAUUAGCUAGUUGGUGAGGUAACGGCUCACCAAGGCGACGAUACAUAGCCGACCUGAGAGGGUGAUCGGCCACACUGGGACUGAGACACGGCCCAGACUCCUACGGGAGGCAGCAGUAGGGAAUCUUCGGCAAUAGGGGGAACCCUGACCGAGCAACGCCGCGUGAGUGAAGAAGGUUGUCGGAUCGUAAAGCUCUGUUGUAAGAGAAGAACGGGUGUGAGAGUGGAAAGUUCACACUGUGACGGUAUCUGACCAGAAAGGGACGGCUAACUACGUG
rnacentral:rRNA from 1 species